GGGGGUUUUCUACAUCUGCCUGCCGAGGAAACCUCGCGGCCCUAACUGGUUAGAAUAGGCCUAUGGAAGGCUUCAUAGUGUACCCUGCCCGCUCACCUUGGUAGUGUUUGGGGGUCGAUGGAUCCCGGGCAUAUGGGCAACACGACUCAUGGUGAAAGUGCACAACCUCUGCAGAGUGUAUAUAUGUUAUAACAGCCCUGCUCACGGUCACGAGCGGCCCGGAAAACUCACAGAAUAACUGGUUACUGAUGGCUUUAUGGUACAUGAUGAUGUAUAAUUAUGCUUUAAUGUGACUUAAUGACUUACUAUGGUUCUAAUAACUGAUC
rnacentral:lncRNA from 1 species